rnacentral:rRNA from 1 species
UACGGAGGGUGCGAGCGUUGUCCGGAAUCACUGGGCGUAAAGGGCGCGUAGGUGGCGCGGGCAGUCAACGGUGAAAGCUCGGGGCUCAACCCCGAGUCGGCCGUCGAUACUCCCGUGCUUGAGCACUGUAGAGGCAGAUGGAAUUCCGGGUGUAGCGGUGGAAUGCGUAGAGAUCCGGAAGAACACCGGUGGCGAAGGCGGUCUGCUGGGCAGUUGCUGACACUGAGGCGCGACAGCGUGGGGAGCAAACAGG